UGAGAAAUAGUUAUACGUAAUAUCUUUUGCAGAUGACUUUUUGAAAAGAAAUCUAUGGACAAAGAAGCUGUUUUUCAACCUUUGCUGACAACUAAAGAGCAAUGAAUGUAACUCCCAGAUGUUUACCUUACCUAUUGGAAGAGAGAGCAAGGGGGAUUACGUAGCAGUUGAUGACAGCGGUUGUUUUUGCAUGUUCUGGAAGCAAAGUGUGGAGAGGAGGAGGAAAGCAGGCACGCCUCAUGCAAGAAGCUCUGAGUCACAAUUAAAAGUUAUACUGCAAUUUUAUCAUAUUUGCCUUUUAUGGUGCCUGACAUUAUGUCCCCGAUAAAAUCACGUGAAUAUAAUACUGACAUUUCUUCCCCCUUGAAUUAUAUCUCUCUUUUUUUUUUUUUUUUUUCUGGCAGAAGCGCUAUAUACUUAAACUGCAUCUGACUGUUAACCCU
rnacentral:lncRNA from 1 species